GACAAGGAGUAAAACUGUUCACAGAUGAAAUCCGGAGCUCACGUGUGCCCUCGAAUAACAAAUCUACACGUCUACUAAAUAGAAAAGGGUGAAAAUUAAGGCAGCUUAUUAAUUCUCGCGUUAUUCAAUAAAAGCCACUCUCAUCAGAGCAGGGAGUUAUCAAUUUGUAAAGAGUGCACUUUCAGUAGUUCCAAAGGUUCUCUCUUUCUUCUUUUUCUCUCUCCAAAGCAUAAGCAUUUUCAGCUUUCCAUUUUUUGCAUCGGGUAAAAGACCUAGAAAAAUCCUAAGGCUGUGUUUGGAAAAGAUGCAAAUGGUGUAAAUCUCAGUUCAGUUAAACUGAUGUCCAAAGGGCACCUAGAUUUCUCGUUGCUAAUGUCAAAAGAUCCCUUGAACGAAAGCUGAGGUUAUUACAAGAACUGGGUCUUACUAUUGUACGAAGAGGAAUGCAUGUCUAAUGUUCAGGAGAAAUCCGGGGUUAUUCAGGACCUCUGAGGAGAGUUAAAGUUGGGACUUGAGUUCUACUUGUACUAUUGGUAUAGAGAAGAGAUUGAUUAUACGAUACUUAGUAUUCCCAAGUUGAAGAACCCUAGUUUUAUUAAUGCGAUACCGUUA